rnacentral:lncRNA from 1 species
GACUGAUUACAGAUUUCAUUGUUCAUUCCUCUAACGAAAGUAGGUUUCAGAUCAAGAAAAGGUACGCGAAUUUUUGAAUGCGAGAAAAGAGCAGAAAACAGUUUCAAUAGAAGAAUAAAUAUAAUCAUAUGUUGGUGAGAGACUAUGCUCAGAAAGGUAUGUUUCAUCUCAUCAUUUUGAGGUGAUGUGAUCAUUUAGGAAAACUUAUUUACCA